GUGCCAGCAGCCGCGGUAAUACGGAAGAUGCGAGCGUUAUCCGGAUUUAUUGGGUUUAAAGGGAGCGUAGGCGGGCCUUUAAGCCAGCGGUCAAAUGUCAGGGCCCAACCUUGGCAUGCCGUUGGAACUGUUGGCCUUGAAUACACACAAGGGCGGUGGAAUUCGUCGUGUAGCGGUGAAAUGCUUAGAUAUGACGAAGAACUCCGAUUGCGAAGGCAGCCGCCUGGGGUGCGAUUGACGCUGAGGCUCGAAAGUGCGGGUAUCGAACAGGAUUAGAUACCCUGGUAGUCCGCACAGUAAACGAUGGAUGCUCGCUAUGGGCGACAUAUUGUCCGUGGCCUAGGGAAACCAUUAAGCAUCCCACCUGGGGAGUACGCCGGCAACGGUGAAACUCAAAGGAAUUGACGGGGGCCCGCACAAGCGGAGGAACAUGUGGUUUAAUUCGAUGAUACGCGAGGAACCUUACCCGGGCUUGAACUGCGCCAGACGUAAGUAGAGAUGCUUAUUCCCUUCGGGGCUGGUGUGGAGGUGCUGCAUGGUUGUCGUCAGCUCGUGCCGUGAGGUGUCGGCUUAAGUGCCAUAACGAGCGCAACCCCUGCCGCCGGUUGCCAUCACGCAGUGGUGGGCACUCCGGCGGGACUGCCAUCGCAAGAUGCGAGGAGGGUGGGGAUGACGUCAAAUCAGCACGGCCCUUACGUCCGGGGCUACACACGUGUUACAAUGGGGGGCACAGCGCGCCGCCACCGGGCGACCGGGAGCGAAUCGUGAAAUCCCCUCUCAGUUCGGACCGGAGUCUGCAACCCGACUCCGCGAAGCUGGAUUCGCUAGUAAUCGCGCAUCAGCCAUGGCGCGGUGAAUACGUUCCCGGGCCUUGUACACACCGCCCGU
rnacentral:rRNA from 1 species